CACAUAAUUAUACGGAAAUUCAUGGUAACCGUAAUCUUCAAGUAUACACAUUAAUUUCCUGUUUACUCCGGUUAUUCUACAUGACACGAGCUGCUAACAAGCCACGCCUCUUUAAAGGGGAGGGGCUUGUUAGACUCCAUGCAGCAGUGCAGUAUAAGAAUAGUUUAUGCAGAACGAACUGAAUUUCUAGUUCUAUCUAAGACGCAGCUUUGGCAGAUGCAGUAUAAGAUGGAUGCAGUGUGGUUGGGCUGUCUAGUAGGACUGGCUCUGUGUGCCCUGAGCUCUGGUAGUCUGCAAGGACCUCCUCUACAUGAUCUUCAGGAGCAUCAGGAUGACCUAGUACCAGUGGAAGUGGACCAACCCGCUGCUAUGAUCACAGACAUUAAAACAGCAGCUGAUACAAAUCAUCCCGAAUCAACUGCUGACAAGAGUGACACAACCAAACGAACCAACCUCUCAAAGCAAGAUACCAAAUCAUCCGUUCCCCUUGGCAACAAGUUAGGGUACAAGAAGAGAGCCUGGCGGGUGGUCAAGCAACAGCCGGUGAGACUGACAGCGGAGCAGAAACGUGAACAGUUAGAAUCAAAGAAAUUACUGACACCAGAUGAGAAGUUGCUGGAGGAAUGGUUCUCCCAAGACGCCCUCAGAUGAUGAACUGAUAGCUAGGUUAGUGUGUGCAGCAGUACAUGACAAGAAUGUAUUGACACCCUCUGUCAGUGUGUCCAUUGUUUGUGUUUCAAUUCUCAUAUAAUAUUUCCUCUUUGCG